rnacentral:lncRNA from 1 species
GCCUAGCCACCGGUGACGGCGGGACUCUCUGGGAGGCCGGCGGUCCUCGGGUGUAGAGGGAGACAGCUGCCCGGGGGCACGGGCGAGCACCUCUGGGGGUCCCGGAUCCUAGACCCGCGGCCCCGGGGUGGCGGUGACGCCUGGAGUCGUGCGGGCUUGGCUGGGCCGGGCUCUUGGGGCAGCCAGGUGCCGCUGCUGGCGUCUAGGCCACACCACCCUGAACGCGCCGGCUCGCCUCUGAUCUGUUGAAGCUAAGCAGGGUCGGGACUGUUUAGUACUUGGAUGGGAUUCCGCCUGGUAAUAGCGGUACCGUAGGCUUUUGGCUUCCCGCUCCCUCCCUCUUUCCUCCUUUUGUCUCCGUGCUUCCCAACUGCCCCCCGCCUCUGCUCCCGGUUGACCGCCCCCGCGCCCCAGCAGAAGCCCAGGUCCUCCUCCUGAAGAUCCGCCACUGCAGCACCGCCAGGCAGCAGCAUCCCACCUCUUCCGACUCGCGGCAGCCCCACCCAACCCGGGCGGGACGGGACCAACCCCGAGGGUGCAGGCGCGGGUUCCCUGAGGUCCCGGGUGUCUUCACGCUCCCCGGACUCCCAGGCAAUUGUAUUCAUUCAUUCAGCGUCACUGCAACCGUCCAAGCCGGUGGAAGGGGCGAGCAGGGGCAGCGGGUGCCACAGACCCCAGCCAAGACCUCCGCUCCAGAACCCGAGGGCUGCUUUCCCCAGAGGAAGGACAUUUUCUUCGCCAGCCACGAGGAAAACCGUCCCUGUGCACCCUGUUUCCCAAUGCCACCGACUUCGUGUAAACUCCAGUCCGGAGGACAGGAGAGAGACCCAGGCCUCGCCCCGUGGACAGGCUCGGCGCCACGGCUCCCGCCAGACACAGGAGCACACUCUACAAAUCUCGGGGCCCAUCGCAUCAAGGAGACAGAAAGAAGCAAACGAAGGACCUUAUGAAACACACCCCCAAAGCAACCAACCAAUCCAAGAAAAAAAAACACGUCUCAGGGCUCCAUUGGUUUUCCUGGCUGGGGGGCCCUGACCCCCUGUUCUAGCCCGGCCCAAGAACCCUGCACCCCACCCCGGCCUGCUGAAAGGUGCCCUGUCUACCUGAGCAGAGCCUCCCUCUCCAAGGCUCUGUCGCUGUCGCUCCACAACUCCCUCACCCUCUCCCUUUCUCUACUUCCCCCUCCACCUCGUGCUCUACUGUGGUGCUCUCUCUUCCCCCCUCUCUCUCUCCUCCCCCCUUUUCUAUCUCUCUCUCUCUCUCUAUCGCUGUCUCUCUCUCUCCCUCUGGUUCUAUUUCUCCAUCCCUCUCUCCUUUGCUUUCCUUCUGUAGCAGGAGGAGCUGCAGACAAAACCCCUCAGACACCGAGUUGUAGAAGGAAGGGCUUUAUUCAGCUGGGAGCAUCAGCAGACUCACGUCUCCAAAAACUGAGCUCUCCUAGUGAGCAAUUCCUGUCCCUCUUAAGGGCUUACAACUCUAAGGGGGUCCGCGUGAGAGGGUCGUGAUGGAUUGAGGAAGCAGAGGGUACGUGACUGGGGGCUGCAUGCACAGGCAACGAGAGCGAAACCACAGAGAAAAGAAACAUCCCGUGCAUCACGGCCUGACAAUGGAUUCCUGUUUCCUGUACAAUGUGGAGUCUCCAAUAUAGCCUGUUUGAAAACUGGAAAGGAGAGCACCGACACGAUGCUGGUCUUCCACGCAUUCCUGGAAGUUUCUGGGGCCCCACAGAGCUCGCGAAACAAACAGUCAACAUGGUCACGCUUUCGGGGGGCAGAAACUUGAGCAACAGGCACCUUUACAGAGGGCAAAGAAACGUGGAAUCCAGAAUCACGCUUCAGUUGGCCUGGGUGUGACUCCUGUGUGGAUGGGACUAUCUGCCUCGAGCUCUGUUGCAGGGCUCAACGUGGGGAUAUGUCAUCUGUGAACCAUGUGGAUGAAAAACAGACAACUACCUGAGUCUCGGCUCAUUGCUCUCUGGGGAAUUCGCUCAUUCCUUCGGAAACGGAAUUGGUCUGAAUUGCUCCGGGAUGAAGUAACCCAGGCUGGUGAUCCAGAGGGCCGCUGAGCGCCCCGCCGGCCAACGGGGCUGUGGGCCCAGCACUCAGCCUGUACUGGGCACCCAACAUAUUCCCGGAGUUCUGGGUCCUGUUGGUUCUGGAGGCAUAAGACAUUUUUUGUCUCUGCCUUCUGUUCUCUGUUUCUUGCUCCUUUUGUCUCUCCGUCCAUCCUUCCAUCUGUUCUACCCUCCCUCCCCUGGCUUUUUCCUCCCUUUCUCCCUCCCUCCCUCUUUCUCUCCCUUCCGGGGUCCCUCCUUCCACCCAUCCUUGCCUAGCUCCAUCCUUCCAUCUCACUCUGUCUCUGUUCCUGUCCUCAUCUCUGCCUGCCUUCCCUCUUGCCUGGAAAGGGCAGCACCCUGGUUUGCGCGAGGUCUCGGGUCUUUAUUUAGUUGUAAGGCGCUCUAUGGUGCUGGCGAGGAGGCUGGCGGGACACGGGUUGGCAAGUGAUGGUGAGCGAAGAGGCGGAGGAGUUGAGCCACAGAAAGGAGAACUGGCCUGGAUUCUGCCCCGGCCCAGUGUUUCGCGGACUGAGGUCUCCGCCAACCCGAUUGAAGAACGCGGGGGGGAAAGGGAGGAGAGCUCCGCCUGGGCUAGUUAGAAGACUAGGCUGCUGCCUGGAAACCCGCGCAUGCGCAGUAGACAGCCCACCUCCCUGUACCUGGACCGGCCCUGGGAUCCCCGGGAUGCUCAGGAAUGCUUUCUUUUCAUUGUUGACAGCCCUACUCUGUGUGGAGUCUCUCGCUGGACCUGGAACUCAGGGAUCCUAGGGAGGUCAGCUGGAAGGGAAGACACGCCUCUCCAUACCAAGCCUGAGGUUCACUGCAAAAGAGAGGCCGCCGCCCUGCCCCCACCCUGCCCCCACCCUGCCCCAAACCCGCCCCAACCUGCUCCUCCAGCAGAGCCCUGUGUUCUUCCUGUCUGAGGAGUGGUUCCAGCAAAGCGGGCUCUUCCACGUCCUUCAGCUCCCCCAGUGGCGCCGGAUCUAGGAAAGGUUGUGCCUUUUGCUGAAACUCUGGGGUUGACAGGAGCUCAUCUAACAGGCUGGAGGUGAGUGCAGACGAGAGCCCCGGCUCCUGGAGCGGUUGGGAGGUGCCCGGUUGGCUGGCAUCUGCGCUUGACGCGGAGGCCUCCGGGGUCACGAGCUCGGGAGGUGAAGGUGCCCCGUCUUCGGGUUCCCAUGCCGCCCUGGCGACCUGGGGCUCCAGCCCCACCACGGACUCCGGUGGGACGUGGGUGGUGCAAGCACACCUUUCCCCUGUGACUCAGCUUGAGGGGCCCCAAGCUGUCCCACUGAGCACGCGCCCAGCAGGCCGUCGCGCUGUGGGUUCUGGUCUUCCUGUCAUUUGUUGGGGUUCGGAGGCCACCAGGGAGUCUGAGGAUGGGAGAGCCCCAGUUUCGGAGGGAGGGGCCAGGACAGUGAACACAAAGCCCCGCAUGCUCGGGCAGGUUGGGAGAGUCCUUCUGCCUGUGCAGCCUGGCUGGGCUGGAGCAGGGGGAUGACCCUUGCUUCCUGGCUCACGAAAGCCCCCUGUGGGAGAGCCCCAGGAGCGCAGGGCAUGUGGGGUGCAGGAAGCGACGUUCCCCACGCCCCGGUGUAGGUGAACCCGAUAGAGGAGGGAGGAGGGUGACACCCACCAGGGGUGCUAAUUAGUAACCACAGUGGCCUCAAAGAACUCAAAUGAAAGGAAGACUUGCAAGUCUCUCACUUUAAGUCCAGAGCUAGAAAUGAUUAAGCUUAGUGAAGAUGUAGAAUUUUCAUAGCUAGAGAGAAGUCAACACUUGGCUUCAGAACUUCAAAGGAUGGGCUGACUCUCUUUGAGGACCACUGCAGCUGGUGACUUUAGGUUACAGCCAGUGCUCAUUGACCACUCUGAAAAUCUCAGGGCCCUUAAGAAUUAUGCAAAAUCUAUUCUUUCUGUGCUCUAGAAAUGGAACAUCACUGUCUGGGUGACAGCACAUCUGUUAAUAGCAUGGUUUACUGAAUAUUUUAAUCCCACUAUUGAGACCUACUGCUCAGAAAAAAAAAAAAAACGAUUCUUUUAAAAAGAUUGUUGGUUGGCCAGGCAUAGUGGCUCAUACUUGUAAUCCCUGCACUUUGGGAGGCUGAGGAUCACCUGAGGUCAGGAGUUCAAGACCAGCCUGGCCAAAAUGAUGAAACCCCAUCUCUA